GCCUGAAGGGAUUCAAGGCUAGGAGGACUGAAAAUCCUCGUGUCGGCGGUUCAAGUCCGCCUCCUGGCA
rnacentral:tRNA from 1 species